rnacentral:rRNA from 1 species
UGGGGAAUAUUGCACAAUGGGCGAAAGCCUGAUGCAGCAACGCCGCGUGAGUGAUGAAGGUCUUCGGAUUGUAAAGCUCUGUCUUUUGGGACGAUAAUGACGGUACCAAAGGAGGAAGCCACGGCUAACUACGUGCCAGCAGCCGCGGUAAUACGUAGGUGGCGAGCGUUGUCCGGAUUUACUGGGCGUAAAGGGUGUGUAGGCGGAUGUUUAAGUGAGAUGUGAAAUACCCGGGCUUAACUUGGGUGCUGCAUUUCAAACUGGAUAUCUAGAGUGCAGGAGAGGAGAAUGGAAUUCCUAGUGUAGCGGUGAAAUGCGUAGAGAUUAGGAAGAACACCAGUGGCGAAGGCGAUUCUCUGGACUGUAACUGACGCUGAGGCACGAAAGCGUGGGUAGCAAACAGGAUUAGAUACCCUGGUAGUCCACGCCGUAAACGAUGAGUACUAGGUGUAGGAGGUAUCGACCCCUUCUGUGCCGCAGUAAACACA